rnacentral:rRNA from 1 species
UACGUAGGGUGCAAGCGUUGUCCGGAAUUAUUGGGCGUAAAGAGCUCGUAGGCGGUUUGUCGCGUCGGCUGUGAAAACCUAGGGCUCAACUCUGGGCUUGCAGCCGAUACGGACAAACUAGAAUUCGGUAGGGGAGACUGGAAUUCCUGGUGUAGCGGUGAAAUGCGCAGAUAUCAGGAGGAACACCGGUGGCGAAGGCGGGUCUCUGGGCCGAUAUUGACGCUGAGGAGCGAAAGCGUGGGGAGCAAACAGG